CCGAAAUUAUCGUUGGUGGAUCGCAUGUAAACAUUUCGUCACUGUUGUUGUGUUUUAUCAGUGGCUAAGUGUUGGGGAUAAAACGCGAAACACAGCAAUUUUUAUUAACUUAUUGGAACAAUAUUUCGUAGUACAAAUUAUUUGGUUUUCUCCGAUUAUUUUCGUUUUGCCGAUUUUAGAUGUGUCAUAUGAAACAGGGUGUGUGGCGAAGUAGAACGAAUGUGGAUACAACGAUGGAGCACUGCCACCCUGUCUUCUGGAAGUGCAGGAAUUUUUAAAUCCAUGGUUUACUGAACAACAGGGAUUUAUAAAAUGCUGUUUAUGUGCCUCUGUUACCAACAACAGUGAAUAAACUGAGACAUCACGUAAGAGCAGUUGUGGAAGCUGUAGCUAAAGACAAGCUCACUGCAGUGCGGGAACAAUUUGAUUACCCCAUUGACAUAUGUCAUGAAUCUCAAGAGGACAUAUUAAACACCUAUGAAAAGGUGUAAACAUCCAGCCUCAUUCAUGGCUUUAUCACUUUGAGGACGAGCAAUAAUGUUGGAACCUACAGAUGGAAAGAACCAGUUGGCUAUCUUCCGACAAUGCACUUGAGUGAGUUCGCUUUAAUUCUACGUGUGCAGAGAUUGGUGUGCAGGGAGUCAAGCAGUAACUCGUUGGUUGUUUGAUUUUUCCUUUCGGAGAAAAAUAUAAUAGCAGAAAUGCUUUAGCAUUCACUGUACUUCAGAGUCCACAUAAAAUAAUACAUCCCACUAAUUGCCAGGAUAAGUAAAUUUAUAUGUUGAAUAAAGCCAAGAUCAACCACCUCCUGUAGAACCAUGUUUGGUAAGGCACUGUGCUCAUACUAUUUAAUUCUUGGAGAUUUUAGCUGUACGAGUGUUAGGCUGUGUUUAAUGUAUGUUUCUGUCCAUAACAAACUGUUUCCCAAUGCUAGAGAAAUCUAGAUCAGUUCAGCUUCCUGACUUUUUGGAUUUCAAACAGCAACUUGCUCCAUAUUUGCAUGCUCUGAGCCCAGAAUUAGGAGGUAAAACAGGCUUUAGAGAACACAGUAAUUGUAGUUGCAUGAUACAGUACUAAGAAAAUUGCACUGUUCAAAAUGGUCAUCUUAAUGAGCUCUAUUGUUUGUAAACAAUUACAUCCACAGAUAAGGGAGCACAUGGGUCCAUCAUCAUCAUCAUCAUCAUCAUCAUCAUCAUCAUCAUCAUCAUCAUCAUCAAUAACAAUGGACUCGACCAAUAAGCAUUAGAAAAUUGUCCACAGCUAUGUGGUCAGCAGCAUCAAGUCUGUGCAGGGGGCCUGGGGUCAAUUCCUGGUAAUAGCAGGGAAUUUUCCUUGGUGUGAGGACAAAUUAGAUGCACACAGCCUAAUGGGGCCCACUGAGGAGCUGCUUGAGUGAGAAGUAAUGGCUCUGAAGGCUGGCAAACCAACAAGUCAGGAGAGUGGGGUGCUGACCUCAUGUCACAUCUGAAUAACCCAAUUGGCAGAUGAAGACAAUAUGGCUAGUCGGUAACCAAUGGCCCAUU